UGCCGGGGCGCCCCCUGUGAGCUGUGUGGGGUGGGCGUCCGCGGGACCUCCUAGCGUCGCAGUGUAUGUGAGGCUAAAUAGGCCGAGAAGGCAUAAGCCACCACUGUUCCUCACAAGACGCUCCGGCAGAUCUUCCAUUUGUUCAGCACAAUAGGAUGGUUGGAAUGAGACUGGCCUGGAGAAAUUCACUAGACUUAAUCAGCAUUGGAAAGUCCUGGAAACCUGCUUAAUGCAGGAGUUGGGGGUGGAGGGACUUUUCUGAGUAGUAAUGACUCCAUACUGGCUGUGAAGAGCUACUUCCACGGAAUUCGUCUAUCUGGAAAAGAAAGAAUAGAACCACUGUGCCUAGGAAGUUGUUAGAGCAAGAAAUCAUGAGGGCCUUCUCUUUAUCAUCAAGCUUGCCAAUCUUUUUGCAUUUGUUUAUUCUUAAUACUUCAAUGCCAAGACUGAUUUUGCAACCGCAAGCGAAGAAUGGAGGUUCAGUUUAUUCAUUUCAUUCAAGAUGUAUGUAACACUUGAUCUGUGACUGCCUUCAGGAUAAAAAGUAGGAAAGAUGUAUUCCAUUGAAUUCAGGAACAUGACAGAAAGAAGAUGGAACCUCCAUACAGAAAUAGAAAGAGAACCAAUCCUCCAGGGCUCACUCAAAUGCGGAAGAAACCAGCCACACUUCAUCAUCAUCUGAAGCACACUGCUGCCUCAGCAGUUGAGCAUAGAGAACAGGCACUCUAUUCUAGUGUUCCAGUCCAGCAUCCCAGAGCUACAGAACAGUCACGAAGGGUUAUUGAGCAUGGGAGAGUGAACAAAAAGAAGAAGGUUGGCAGUUGCUCAGGACAUCAGCUCCUGAAGCUAGUCCUUCUCAAAAAACAAAUAAACAACAACAACAACAACAACAAAAAAAACCCAGAGCCCUAAAUGAGAGGCCUAUGCGAAGGAAAUCAGAACUUGGGACUCUUCUCUUAAUCCCCCCAGUGCCCUUUAUAGGAAUUAAACAGUGAUGGAACUGGG